GACGAACCGUGCGAACGUUGUUCGGAAUCACUGGGCUUAAAGGGCGCGUAGGCGGGUUCGCAAGUCUGUGGUGAAAGCCUCCAGCUUAACUGGAGAAGUGCCAUGGAUACUGCGAGCCUCGAGGAGGGUAGGGGCAUCUGGAACAGUAGGUGGAGCGGUGAAAUGCGUUGAUAUCUACUGGAACUCCGGUGGCGAAGGCGAGGUGCUGGACCAUUUCUGACGCUGAGGCGCGAAAGCCAGGGGAGCGAACGGG
rnacentral:rRNA from 1 species